UACGUAGGGGGCAAGCGUUGUCCGGAUUUAUUGGGCGUAAAGAGCGUGUAGGCGGCCAUACAGGUCCGUUGUGAAAACUCGAGGCUUAACCUCGAGACGUCGAUGGAAACCGUAUGGCUAGAGUCCGGAAGAGGAGAGUGGAAUUCCUGGUGUAGCGGUGAAAUGCGCAGAUAUCAGGAAGAACACCCGUGGCGAAGGCGGCUCUCUGGGACGGUACUGACGCUGAGACGCGAAAGCGUGGGGGGCGAACAGG
rnacentral:rRNA from 1 species